rnacentral:rRNA from 1 species
CCUACGGGAGGCAGCAGUGGGGAAUAUUGGGCAAUGGAGGAAACUCUGACCCAGCGACGCCGCGUGCGGGAUGAAGGCCUUCGGGUUGUAAACCGCUUUCAGUAGGGAAGAAGCGAAAGUGACGGUACCUACAGAAGAAGCACCGGCUAACUAUGUGCCAGCAGCCGCGGUAAUACAUAGGGUGCAAGCGUUGUCCGGAAUUAUUGGGCGUAAAGAGCUCGUAGGUGGUUCGUCACGUCGGAUGUGAAAAUCUGGGGCUCAACCCCAGACCUGCAUUCGAUACGGGCGAUCUAGAGUGUGGUAGGGGAGACUGGAAUUCCUGGUGUAGCGGUGGAAUGCGCAGAUAUCAGGAGGAACACCAAUGGCGAAGGCAGGUCUCUGGGCCAUUACUGACACUGAGGAGCGAAAGCGUGGGGAGCGAACAGGAUUAGAUACCCUGGUAGUCCGACGACCGUAACGGUAGGCGACUAGUUAGUGGUACCGUACCGUACGUUACGUGUCGACGCAGCUACGACAUAGUAGCCCGCCGUCGGGAGGUACGAGUCGCGAAGAAGUUAAACGUAACGUAAAGGUAAAGUUAGUUACGGACGUGAGACGUGUUCCGACGGCGACGACGAGGGAGGAGG